rnacentral:rRNA from 1 species
UGCGUAGGCGGUCUUUUAAGUCAGUGGUGAAAUCCCAGAGCUCAACUCUGGAACUGCCAUUGAAACUGAAAGACUUGAAUAUGGUUGAGGUAGGCGGAAUACGUUAUGUAGCGGUGAAAUGCAUAGAUAUAACGUAGAACACCAAUUGCGAAGGCAGCUUACUAAACCAUUAUUGACGCUGAUGGACGAAAGCGUGGGGAGCGAACAGGAUUAGAUACCCUGGUAGUCC